UACGUAGGGUGCGAGCGUUGUCCGGAAUUAUUGGGCAUAAAGAGCUCGUAGGCGGUUUGUCGCGUCGACUGUGAAAACCCGAGGCUUAACCUCGGGCCUGCAGUCGAUACGGGCAGACUAGAGUUCGGUAGGGGAGACUGGAAUUCCUGGUGUAGCGGUGAAAUGCGUAGAUAUCAGGAGGAACACCAAUGGCGAAGGCAGCUCGCUGGGGACGUGACUGACGCUGAGACGCGAAAGCGUGGGGAGCAAACAGG
rnacentral:rRNA from 1 species